UCAGUAUCCAGUCUGAAGCUGGCACAGGUGCUGCAUGGCUGUCGUCAGCUCGUGCCGUGAGGUGUAUGGUUAAGUCCCAUAACCGAGCGCAACCCUCGUCGCUAGUUAAUUUCCUAGCGAGACCGCUCGCAAACGGGAGGAAGGUGGGGGAUGACGUCAAGUCAGCAUGGCCUUUAUACCCUGGGCGACACACACGCUACAAUGGGUGGUAUAAUUGGUAGCGAAGGAGCGAUCCGGAGCAAAUCCUUAAAACCAUCCUCAGUACGGAUUGCAGGCUGAAACCCGCCUGCAUGAAGCCGGAGUUGCUAGUAACCGCAUAUCAGAAUGGUGCGGUGAAUACGUUCUCCGGGGCCUU
rnacentral:rRNA from 1 species